rnacentral:lncRNA from 1 species
UUGUUGUGAGUUAUAUAUUUAAUUAUCCUUUUAUAUUAUGUUCCUUAGUGAUUCUUGCAUAUUCUCCGUUGCUUUUAUUGCUUUGGCCAAGUAGUAGAUCGUAACUCCAAGAGGGAGCAUUAUGCAUUAUUGUGGGUUCGGGCCCCUCGAUGUCUAGCUUGAGUGGCAGAAACAGGAGACUAGGGGAUGUGCUUAUUGCCAACAGGGAGAAAACAACGGUGCUUGUGACCACGGUUGCAAGGAUUGUUUACCUUACGCAUAGUUCGUUAAUGCAGUUGUUCGUUGCUUUGAGUUUACACUUUGGGUGGGGUUCACAACUUAAUACCUGAGAGGUGUUCUGGAUAGAUAUAUCAAGUUGGAUGAUUAGUAAGUAGAUGUUUAUAAACAAAUGGUCUACUUGUCUUGUCGUACUGCCCAUUACUAUUGAACCUCUAACUAUCAGGGAGCAUAAUUAGCAUUGUGGUGCGAUCAUAAUUCUGUCAAUUGCCCAACUGUGAUUUGUUUACCCUAUCAUAGUUGCUUAUCGUCUUUUGGGAGAGAGACAUCACAAGUGAACAUCAUGUGACUCCGGUCCAUAUCACCAUCAUUGUUUACAC